GGCAAGCGAUGGAUCCGCGUCCGAUUAGCCAGUUGGCGGGGUAAGGGCCCACCAAAGCGACGAUCGGUAGCCGGCCUGAGAGGGCGGACGGCCACAUUGGGACUGAGACACGGCCCAGACUCCUACGGGAGGCAGCAGUGGGGGAUAUUGCACAAUGGGGGAAACCCUGAUGCAGCGACGCCGCGUGGGUGAAGAAGUAUUUCGGUAUGUAAAGCCCUAUCAGCAGGGAAGAAAGAAGACGGUACCUGACUAAGAAGCCCCGGCUAACUACGUGCCAGCAGCCGCGGUAAUACGUAGGGGGCAAGCGUUAUCCGGAUUCACUGGGUGUAAAGGGAGCGUAGACGGCCGUGCAAGCCAGGAGUGAAAGCCCGGGGCCCAACCCCGGGACUGCUCUUGGAACUGUGCGGCUGGAGUGCGGGAGGGGCAGGCGGAAUUCCUGGUGUAGCGGUGAAAUGCGUAGAUAUCAGGAGGAACACCGGCGGCGAAGGCAGCCUGCUGGACCGCGACUGACGUUGAGGCUCGAAAGCGUGGGGAGCGAACAGGAUUAGAUACCCUGGUAGUCCACGCCGUAAACGAUGACUACUAGGUGUCGGGGCACGACAGUGCUUCGGU
rnacentral:rRNA from 1 species